rnacentral:lncRNA from 1 species
CAGAACCGCUCCAUGAGUGCUGAAAACUGCAAUCGGCUCAGAGAGCGCUCUCCGGAGAAGGGGAAGGAGAAGGAGGAGGAAAAGGAAACGCCAAGACAUAGAAAACCACGCUUUUCCCGUAGGAAGAACCGAUGAUGAGCCCUGAUGAAAGAAGGAAGAAGACCCGCUGUCUGCGAAGGCCUAAAGGCCGCGGUUGCCAGGAACCGUGGAGGGCCAACUCCUCCCAACCGCCCUGGUGCAAAGUCCCACGCGGCGAAGAGUUUUGGAGCAGCGCUUACCUAGAAAGAUGUUUAAAUUCUGAACCAGGAAUUGUCUCCAACUCCAGGCGCUCAGGGAAUCGCCUUUUCCGGUGUCCAGGCGCUCUGCAGACAAAUAAACAGCAGAAGGUGAAUGGCGGCUGCGAGGGAAGGGAGUUGGAGGCCGGGAGUGGGAAGCGAGGCUCAUGCGGGCGCCAAGGU